UACGGAGGGUGCGAGCGUUGUCCGGAAUCACUGGGCGUAAAGGGCGCGUAGGCGGCCUGAUAAGUAGGGGGUGAAAUCUUGCGGCUUAACCGCAAGGCUGCCUUCUAAACUGUCGGGCUAGAGCACAGUAGAGGCAGGUGGAAUUCCCGGUGUAGCGGUGGAAUGCGUAGAGAUCGGGAAGAACAUCAGUGGCGAAGGCGGCCUGCUGGACCAACACUGACACUGAUGAGCGAAAGCCAGGGGAGCAAACGGG
rnacentral:rRNA from 1 species